UUUCCUGAUCAACGCUAAUCGGAUCAGGGUUAGUCGGGUCCUAAGGGUAAGCCGAACGGCGAUCUCGAUGGAUAAUCGGUUAAUAUUCCGAUACUAACAUAUACCUCGAUGGAGAGACGAAGGAACGUAAGUGCCGCCACCUGACGGAAUAGGUGGUUAAAGGGCGUAGGUAUAGGGGCAGAUUAAGAGUUAGUCCUUGCUGAAACCUGACAGUACAGAGAGCCUACGGGCAAUUUGAUAGAGCACCCAAGUCGACUUCCGAGAAAAUCUUCUAAGUUAUAGUAUAUGUUACCCGUACCGUAAACCGACACAGGUGGUCGAGGAGAGUAUCCUAAGGUGCUCGAGUGAAUCACGGUUAAGGAACUAGGCAAAUUAACCCCGUAACUUCGGGAAAAGGGGUCCCUAUGAAAGUAGGGCGCAGCGAAGAGGUCCAGGCGACUGUUUAUCAAAAACACAGGGCUCUGCAAAUUCGAAAGAAGACGUAUAGGGCCUGACACCUGCCCGGUGCUGGAAGGUUAAGAGGGGAUGUCAUCGCAAGAGAAGCAUUGAAUCGAAGCCCCAGUAAACGGCGGCCGUAACUAUAACGGUCCUAAGGUAGCGAAAUUCCUUGUCGGGUAAGUUCCGACCUGCACGAAUGGUGUAACGAUCUGGACACUGUCUCAACCGUGAGCUCGGUGAAAUUGUAGUCCCGGUGAUGAUGCCGGGUACCCGCAACGGGACGAAAAGACCCCGUGAACCUUUACUAUAGCUUAACGCUGAAUUUGGGUACACAAUGUGUAGGAUAGGCCGGAGGCUUUGAAGCGGGCACGCCAGUGUUCGUGGAGCCGACGUUGAAAUACGGCCCUUUGUGUAUUUGAGUUCUAACCCUGCGAAGGGGACACCGUUUGGUGGGUAGUUUGACUGGGGUGGUCGCCUCCAAAAGCGUAACGGAGGCUUCCCAAGGUACCCUCAGCACGAAUGGUAACCGUGCGCGGAGUGCAAUAGCAUAAGGGUGCUUGACUGUGAGACAUACAAGUCGACCAGGUACGAAAGUAGGGUAUAGUGAUCCGGUGGUUCUGCGUGGACUGGCCAUCGCUCAAAGGAUAAAAGGUACUCCGGGGAUAACAGGCUGAUCGCCGCCAAGAGCUCAUAUCGACGCGGCGGUUUGGCACCUCGAUGUCGGCUCGUCACAUCCUGGGGCUGGAGAAGGUCCCA
rnacentral:rRNA from 1 species